GGUUUGCGCUCCGUGUGGUAACGUGGGCCUGGCGACCCGUCUCCACUGCGCAUGACCACGCUCCAUGAAAACAACUCGUGGAAGAGAGAAGAAACCUGGAAAACCCAUCCAUGGCCCUGCAGCUGUCGGCCCAGAUGAACAGAAAAUCACCAGAGGAACCAGCAUACAAAUACAUCAACCUUUAGUGUGAAAGAUCUGCUCAGAUAGCACCACCUGAUGGAUCAUCUGCAGACCCAGGGAUUGUAGGUCUUGAGUUUGACGAUGGGAUACUACUACUCCUUGACCGUGGGUCGACUAGUAGUAAUUAAUGGUAGGCUUGAAGUUAUCUAUCCAGAGAUGACCAUCAGCAAGUGUCUCGCCUGAGGACUUCAGGGAGACGAUCAUCAGACUGGACAGCUCCGAAGGCCGCUGCUCGGUUGCGGAUGAGGUAAUGAUAUUCGUUCACUUGUGUGGUCUGGUCACUCUGUUUAAAACCAUGACCAGAUGGGGGAUUUGACUGCUUCAAAUAGUGUAUCAAUUUCAUAACAAAGAAUAAAUAGGCUUAUAAAAUAAAACAUUUUCCUUCUCGAUAAAAUGUAGCACUGUAGGCCUUUUGAAAACCUUGCUUUUAACACGGAACACACUCAUCAAACACUAGAGAGCAGCAACACUCAAGAUAAAGUCCAAAUGAGAGAGCAUUCACUGCUGUAACACAAAACCAAACACUGGAAUCACUGCAAAGUAACUGUUCAAUUUGUUUUGAAAACAAACAAUAUUUCCAUUUUCUUUACAGUUCACGUUCUAUUGUGUAUAUGUCAGUAUCUGCAAUUUCAUCGCCACUCUCACCACAAGGUGGCGCAAGUACUGCAUGUUAGUUUAUGUGUGGCCGGGCCGCAUGAGCAAUAUGUCGGCAUGACCGUCUUCUUCCUUUGUGAUGUUGACUUCAUGCUUAAAGCAUUUCCUAUUUGCUACAAUGCCAGGUUUUGUUGUAAAAAAACAGCUCUACUUGGGUCAUCCUUGUAUAAUAUAAUUGAAGGGUAGGGCAGAGCGGUGUUGAUGGGCUGUUGUAUUCUUCAGCUGCAGAACAAUUCUUUUUUUUUUAAUCUGGGUUUAGAUAUCAUGCAACAUCUGACAAUAGAUUGCAGCAAACGGCACACGGAGCCGCGUGAGCUCAGUGGAGUAAACCAUUGACCCGAUGUCCUUUUUACCUUGGAAACUUCCAUGCGGCACAAUAUACUUUGUUUUUUAAUCAAUAGCAAACUAAAACAACAGAAAGGAAAAUGAAGUCGUAAUUACGCUCCUCGUUGGUUCGCCACUACCCCCUGUGAACUUCCAAGGCUGAACCCAUGAAUUCUAAACACAUUCAUUUAAUCUAUUUGUUUUUAUGCUAAUUAGAAGAAGAG
ensembl:lncRNA